rnacentral:rRNA from 1 species
AUUGAACGCUGGCGGAAUGCUUUACACAUGCAAGUCGAACGGUAGAGGGGGCAACCCCCUUGAGAGUGGCGAACGGGUGAGUAAUAUAUCGGAACGUGCCCAGUCGUGGGGAUAACGUAGCGAAAGUUACGCUAAUACCGCAUACGAUCUACGGAUGAAAGCGGGGGACUCGCAAGAGCCUCGCGCGAUUGGAGCGGCCGAUAUCAGAUUAGGUAGUUGGUGGGGUAAAGGCUCACCAAGCCAACGAUCUGUAGCUGGUCUGAGAGGACGACCAGCCACACUGGAACUGAGACACGGUCCAGACUCCUACGGGAGGCAGCAGUGGGGAAUUUUGGACAAUGGACGCAAGUCUGAUCCAGCCAUUCCGCGUGCAGGAUGAAGGCC